rnacentral:rRNA from 2 species
UGUGAACUCGAAGAGUAGGGCGGGACACGUGGUAUCCUGUCUGAAUAUGGGGGGACCAUCCUCCAAGGCUAAAUACUCCUGACUGACCGAUAGUGAACCAGUACCGUGAGGGAAAGGCGAAAAGAACCCCGGCGAGGGGAGUGAAAAAGAACCUGAAACCGUGUACGUACAAGCAGUGGGAGCACCUUCGGGUGUGACUGCGUACCUUUUGUAUAAUGGGUCAGCGACUUAUAUUCUGUAGCAAGGUUAACCGUAUAGGGGAGCCGCAGGGAAACCGAGUCUUAACUGGGCGUUAAGUUGCAGGGUAUAGACCCGAAACCCGGUGAUCUAGCCAUGGGCAGGUUGAAGGUUGGGUAACACUAACUGGAGGACCGAACCGACUAAUGUUGAAAAAUUAGCGGAUGACUUGUGGCUGGGGGUGAAAGGCCAAUCAAACCGGGAGAUAGCUGGUUCUCCCCGAAAGCUAUUUAGGUAGCGCCUCGUGAACUCAUCUUCGGGGG